ensembl:lncRNA
AGAAAAAACUUUUAGCGAACUAACAAAAAGAGUCUUGUUAGUGAAGCAGUUAUCCAGUGCACCCUCAUCCCAGUGGAAUGCGUUGAAGUGAGAGUCAUGCAGUUCACCGGGCCUAGUCUGCGUAGAGAUAUUUACACGCCAUUUAACACAUUAAGGACUUGCUAAAUUGUCAUCGCACUACAUUCUGUCUAUUUCCGGGUGAAAUCACAGCUCAGAAGUUCGGGUGUUUGUGGACUGUUGACAAAAUAGCGGUUACGUGUGGAAAGGGAGGGUGUACAAAGCAAACAGGGAAAAAAAAUCGAGCGAUCGCUUGUUUCUCUCAGCCUGCUGAAAGAAGCAGGAAGCGAACUAGAGCUGUUCACCUACACCGUUUCGAAUGAAAGACUGCAGUGGACAUUUGAAGGGGAAGAGAGCUCAGCUUUUGCCUUCUUACUGUGAUUGAAACCUGACCGGUAUUUGGAGUUCAAUCCGAGACGCGGACAGUUAACUUUUAACAUUUCGUUUCGGUGAAUUCUAUAGAACUGGCGUCGGACAUUCCAUUCCAGUUGGAAUAACGUGUUCUAAAGAUGCAGCAUCCUCUUCAUCCCAUCAUGGAGCAGGCUGAGAUAUAAGAGACUGUAGAGACAGCAGGAAAGGGGCGACGUUUAUCUCAUUGGCUCAGGCGAUUCCAGACCCCAUCAUCUUCGUGAGGGCAUUCGUGCCGUUCACUCUUUCCAGCUUCCUGGAUGAGGAAACCCUCAUGUCACAUACCAUCAGCCUAAGGAGCUCCAGUGCCAGCACCAUGUGACAGACAUUUACCGCUAAUCACGGAACCGGCUUUACUGAUGAGACAUGCAUGACAAAUGCAUGCGAUUAAUCGUGCAAACUCCAUGUGGGCUUUCAUGUGUCUUGCACUGAGGAGAGGCUUCCGUUGGGCCACUCUGCCAUAAAGCCCCGACUGGUGGAGGGCUGCAGUGGUGGUUGACUUUCUACAACUUUCUCCCAUUUCCC